UACAGAGGGUGCGAGCGUUAAUCGGAGUAACUGGGCGUAAAGGGCACGUAGGCGGUUAUAUUAGUCUGAUGUGAAAGACCUGGGCUUAACCUGGGAUGUGCAUUGGAAACGGUAUGGCUAGAGUAUGGGAGAGGGAAGUGGAAUUUCCGGUGUAGCGGUGAAAUGCGUAGAGAUCGGAAAGAACGCUCGUGGCGAAGGCGGCUUUCUGGCCCAAAACUGACGCUGAGGUGCGAAAGCGUGGGGAGCAAACAGG
rnacentral:rRNA from 1 species